rnacentral:misc_RNA from 1 species
AACGCACGAGACCUGCGGACCUGCGGAGGGAUCAUUACAAGUGACCCCGGUCUAACCACCGGGAUGUUCAUAACCCUUUGUUGUCCGACUCUGUUGCCUCCGGGGCGACCCUGCCUUCGGGCGGGGGCUCCGGGUGGACACUUCAAACUCUUGCGUAACUUUGCAGUCUGAGUAAACUUAAUUAAUAAAUUAAAACUUUUAACAACGGAUCUCU